rnacentral:lncRNA from 1 species
AAAUCGAAAACCUCAAGAACUUAGCUGGGUCAAACUCGAGGCCCAAAUAGGAGAAUCAUUGAUUAUUCAAAGCAAACUCUAUCACCAUAAUAACCCAAAAUCGAUUUAAAUUAAACGAAAAAGAAGAGUGGAUAAAAGGUCGACAUUAAUUUGAAACAACCCAUCUUGAGGCUGGGCCAACUCGAAUAUGGGCCCAAGCCACUCCCUAGAGCCUGUUACAACACUUACACGUUUUGAUGGUUCUAAUAUGCAUGCUAUUAAUCAACCUAAGAGGUCAAUUUCUGAAGUUUUACUCAAAGACUAAUCCUUACUCCUAUUAUCACGUGUAACAGUACAACUACGUGAAUUCUCAUUCAAAAGUCUUUGGAAAACAAUCCCAAACAACUAGAAUCAUUAAAUAGCUAAUUAACAAGCACUUUGAAUAAGAUAAAGUCCUAAAUUAAGUCUAUAUCAUAACGGUCCAAAAUCAAACACAUGACAUCAAGAAUUUAACCAAAAACUAAACUUGCAUGCGAAGCUAAAGUUUAACACAGCCUAUAAGUACUGUCAACAACAUGGGUAAAUUCAUAGAUCAUAUAGUAAAACCCAAUGUAAUGCAUAAAACAAGAUAGAUUUUAUACGAAAUCAACUAAUACUAUGCUUAAACUCCACAUUUGAUUACAUGCUUCAAUUUUGAGCUUUAAUAUUCAAUAAGGUCCAAAAGGGGUACCUGAAUAUCAAAAGAAACCAAAGAAAAUGAAGGUUCAGCAGUAGCAAUAGUGUAGAUUAUCAUAGCAAGGUUCAGCUCCUUAGACCAUAUUAACCCAGAUAAACAAGAGUUCCUUGAAGCUUUUUGAAUUCCAAUUAACACUUAAGACUAAGGAGCAAGAAUUAGAACCAAUUUCCACCCAAAAGAUGCAGAAAUUUUAAAGUAUUUUUUCAGAGUAGCUCUUUCAACCGCUUUUGAUUUUUAGUAUUCUGAUCUUUGACUCUAAACUAAAGAACAUGAGCCUUAUACAAUCGGCUCCUAGGGCAACAAAAUCUGAUUCUACCUUUCAUUAUUUACCCCUUCCUCAAUUUUAUUUUCAUUUUGGACCCUAAGUUGUAGCCUAUUUGCUAAGUCAGCCCGUUCCUCGGUUUCUUUGAAACUUCCUAGUUAGUUAGACCAGAUUCCCUCAAGUUAAAAUGACCUACGCAACCUUCAACACCCCUGUAUUUACCCUCAGGGGAUCACUCCUGGGUCAAACUAACCCAAGACCCAACCUAACCCACGGGCAUGUGUACUAACAACCCAAAUUAAAUCUGAGACCAUAAAGGAAUGUUAUCAGUCAUAAAUUUAAGCAAAUAAACCCCUGAAUUUAAAAAGACUUCAAAAGAGACACUUGGAAACAAUAAUUUAUAAACAAAAGCACUUAAACUAAUUGAGACUAUUAUUAGCAAAUACAGUCAAUGCAUGAGCCUAGUUUGACCUUUGAAAGAAUUAAAUUAACCAUCUAAACAAGGAGUCAAAUUAUACCAAGAUAAAAAUAUGAUGAUUUCAAUUAAAUGCCAAAAUAAACCCAAAUUAAAGAGAGAAAAGAACCGGAGCCCUAAUGACCUAAAAGCCUACUCAAUGUUACCCCCUAACCAACUGAUUAUCAUUAAGAAGCUUAAAGUCUGAAACCUAAGUCAUGUAAUUGGACAAGAACCAAAACUCAUGAAGAAAUAAACCGAAGAAAGAAGAGGAGAAAAUUAGAGGGAAACAAAUAACACAAAGUAAAAGAGAAUUACCCCCAUACUUGCUCAGACAGAACUCGAACAACUCUUUUUAAAGAAGCAAAUGAACCUUCGACUAUCAUUAAUCGAUUGUCCUUAGCAUGGGACAGUUGAUUAAUGAUGGUUUGGGGUUCAUUCGGCCACAUACUAACCCAAAAAAGAACAAGGGGUGAAACCUAGGGAUUUUUCAAACCCCUGCUUCAACGUUGAAAGGAGACGAAAGCACAUUCGAGGAGAGAAAGGGUGAAGGGUUGCAUGGUGUAAGCUUGGGUAGAUUUGGGGAUUUUAGGGUUUUGGGGUGUUGGACUUAGAUCUUAAUUUCGAGAAGCUUGGUAAUGGUUUGAGAAGAGUAAGUUGGGGAUUCGGGAUGAGUGGAUAGAGAGGAUUCCAAGGUGUUAAUGGCGGAGAUUGGAGGUCAAUUGCCGGUAGAGAUGCUCCAGAACAAUAACUCAUAACUUGAAAAAAAUUCGAGAUACAAUUUAUAUCUUCAAAGUGGAGGAAAAAGUGAUGAUUCUGGUAUAAAUCGUGGCACGACUAUAAAUAAGAUGCUUGUUGGGAGGCAACCUAAUUUUACUGGUUUCUUUUAUUUUUAUUUUUUUAUUUUUUUUAUUGUGUUACUUUGUAGUGUUGUUCUUAAUUAUGAAGAAGUAGGAGCAUGGUAAAUAAAUCCAUUAGGUGCGUGAAAAAUCAAGUGGAUGAUUGGAACUAAGUGGGGGAUGCUUGCGCAAAAGAUCAUACCUGAAGAAGUCUGAGUAUCCUUUGUGUUGCUAAUACUUCAACCAUUGACCUACCAUGGAGUCUCUUUUACCAUCUUGUUACUUAUGGUAUGUAUUGAGGGCAAUGCAGAAUUUGUUA